rnacentral:rRNA from 1 species
GAAUAUUGGACAAUGGGGGGUACCCUGAUCCAGCCAUGCCGCGUGUGUGAAGAAGGCCUUUUGGUUGUACAGCACUUUAAGCGAGGAGGAGGAGCUCUUGGGUAAUACCCAAGAUGCCUGGACGUUACUCGCAGCCUAAGCACCGGCUACCUCUGUGCCCGCCGCCGCGGUAAUACAGAGGGUGCAAGCGUUAAACGGAUUUACUGGGCGUAAAGCGCGCGUAGGUGGCAAAUUAAGUCAAAUGUGAAAUCCCCGAGCUUAACUUGGGAAUUGCAUUCGAUACUGGUGGGCUAGAGUAUGGGAGAGGAUGGUAGAAUUCCAGGUGUAGCGGUGAAAUGCGUAGAGAUCUGGAGGAAUACCGAUGGCGAAGGCAGCCAUCUGGCCUAAUACUGACAUUGAGGUGCGAAAGCAUGGGGAGCAAACA